rnacentral:rRNA from 1 species
GACGAACGCUGGCGGCGUGCUUAACACAUGCAAGUCGAGCGGUAAGGCCCUUUCGGGGGUACACGAGCGGCGAACGGGUGAGUAACACGUGGGUGACCUGCCCUCAGCUCUGGGAUAAGCCUGGGAAACUGGGUCUAAUACUGGAUAUGACUCCACGGUGCAUGUCGUGGGGUGGAAAGCCUUGUGCGGCUGAGGAUGGGCCCGCGGCCUAUCAGCUUGUUGGUGGGNGAUGGCCUACCAAGGCGACGACGGGUAGCCGGCCUGAGAGGGCGACCGGCCACACUGGGACUGAGACACGGCCCAGACUCCUACGGGAGGCAGCAGUGGGGAAUCUUGCGCAAUGGGCGAAAGCCUGACGCAGCGACGCCGCGUGAGGGAUGACGGCCU